UGAGGAAUAUUGGUCAAUGGCCGGAAGGCUGAACCAGCCAUGCCGCGUGAAGGUCAGUGCCCUAUGGGCGUUAAACUUCUUUUGUGCGGGAGCAAUAAGGUCCACGUGUGGACCGACGAGAGUACCGUACGAAUAAGCAUCGGCUAACUCCGUGCCAGCAGCCGCGGUAAUACGGGGGAUGCAAGCGUUAUCCGGAUUUAUUGGGUUUAAAGGGUGCGUAGGCUGUGAGGUAAGUCAGCGGUGAAAUGCCCCCGCUCAACGGGGUGAAGUGCCAUUGAUACUGCCUUGCUGGAAUGCGGAUGCCGUGGGAGGAAUGUGUGGUGUAGCGGUGAAAUGCAUAGAUAUCACACAGAACACCGAUUGCGAAGGCAUCUCACGAAUCCGCUAUUGACGCUGAUGCACGAAAGCGUGGGUAUCAAACA
rnacentral:rRNA from 1 species